rnacentral:rRNA from 1 species
AGCAGCCGCGGUAAUUCCAGCUCCAAUAGCGUAUAUUAAAGUUGUUGCAGUUAAAAAGCUCGUAGUUGAAUUUCGGGAUCAGUAUGUUGGUCGUGCUUCGGUACGUACUGUCAUUACUGGUUUCUCCCUUCUGAAGAACCUUGAUGUCAUUAAUUUGGUGUCUUGGGGAAUCAGGACUGUUACUUUGAAAAAUUAGAGUGUUUAAAGCAAGCAUACGCUUGAAUACAUUAGCAUGGAAUAAUGAAAUAGGACGUUUGAUUCUAUUUUGUUGGUUUCUAGGAUCGACGUAAUGAUUAAUAGGGAUAGUUGGGGGCAUUAGUAUUCAAUUGUCAGAGGUGAAAUUCUUGGAUUUAUUGAAGACUAACUACUGCGAAAGCAUUUGCCAAGGAUGUUUUCAUUAAUCAAGAACGAAAGUUAGGGGAUCGAAGACGAUCAGAUACCGUCGUAGUCUUAACCAUAAACUAUGCCGACUAGGGAUCGGAUGAUGUUAUUUUUAAUGACUCAUUCGGCGCCUUACGGG